GUUUACUUGUCAACACAAUUCGAAGCUUCCUGAUCAUUAAAUUUCAUUUUUAAUGAUACUAAACUUUGAGGAAAAGCAAUAUAGGCAUAACCCUUCAUCAACUCUGUCUUCAUUAUCAGUUGAUACAAGAGACAUAACCUCAGAGUCAGACGAAGAAUCUUGACUCUCUUUUUCGUUGAUAUUGGCGUCUCAGGAACUGCAGAUGAAAUUGAAGCUGAGGAACAGCAAGUUGAAGUUAAGGGCGCAGUAUCUGAAGAUGCAUCAGUAACUAGAUAUAAGGCUGAAGGCAUAGAUGGCAGCUAAGAAUAACGAAAAAAAUGACAAAGCUACAGCUGAAGCUAGAUCGAAGUAGCAGGAGGGCUAAAUUC